AAUCUUUGAAAAAUUUUGACCUCUAAAUGACUUAAGAAAUAAACAAUUAAAAUUUAUUUUAAAUUUUGUUCUAUCAAGAGCAUGAAACAUUAAAAUUAAUAAUUCGUUUGCAUUUAAAUAUCGUGAGUUAAAUUCGAUUGAGUCUUAACUCGAUUGGCAUGGGCAUUGUUACCAAUACAGAAGAAUGUGGGUUCGAGUGCGCUGCAAGACAUUAUCUUCCUAUUUAUGGGUUGAGGAGAGACUAUGACUAGUUUUAAGUAUUAUCUCAAAAAGAGAAGAUAUAUUCAAAAUCUAUAAUGAGAUUGUUCAAAAAAAAAAUACCGUGAGUUCAAUAGUAGUAAAACCAAUGUUAAACAUAAAUUAAAACAUGUACAUAUAAUUAAUUAUAAGUAAAGUAUAAAAAUAAUCACUAAAUUAUUGACUUCAUUCUAUUUUGGUCACUUAAUUAUUGGUAAUUUAAUUAUUAAUUUUUUGAUUUAGUGACUUAUUUUUUUUUAUUUUAAGGAAGCUUACAUGGAAUUUUGGAAUUGCCAUGUAAUUUUCCUAAUUUUCCAGGUAUUUUUUUUUUUAGUUUUGACUUUUGAAUCUCAUUGUCCUUUCUUUUCUUUUUGCGUCGCCACCACUGUCUGGUAACGCCUCGAGCCACCGCCGUCCUUAGCCAUUUUCCCUUUUCCCUCUCUUUUCUCUUCUUCAUCUUCUAUUUAUUUUUCCUUAUUUCAUUUUCUCUGCACCAUAGAAACCCAAACUGUGCACCCUUCUCCAACCGUCGCCAACACUGCCGUCCAUCGCUGGCCUCCUUAUCGCCGUUGAAAAACGCUCGGACUCCACCUCUCUCUCUCGACCUCUUUUCAUUUUUCUUUCCCCCUUUUUUCAAUCAAAAACCUAGUUGCCCCUUUGUUACUACCGCCCCAUCAAUUGCCACCCUAAACUACCGCCGUCAGUGGUCUCUUCUGACGAUAGAAUCGUCCUGUCGCUUUAAAGCCACCCCCGUCGUACGCUGCCGAGAUGACCCUUCUACUUUUAUUCUUCUUUUUUAGAUUUUCUUCUUUUGUAUCUUAGUUCUUCUGAAUUUUUGGAGUGUCUGCAGGCUUCUCACUCGGUGUUCCUCUCCUUCUUUACUGACAACUAAUGUGUAUGGUUCUUUUUUGGUGUAAAUAUUGUUGCCUUUAUUGAAUUGUUGGGUUUCUGGAUAGUUGAAUGGUUGGGGUAUUAUUAUUAUUAUUUGAGAUUGUUAUGGGUUGAGAGAAUGAGGUUGAGUGGAGGUGGCGAUGGUGGGCAAUGCUUUGCCCCAUUGUUGUCACUCCUUAAAUAUUGUCAUCAAAUGAGCCGAUUUAGCUUCAUCUUUGGUUGUAAUUUGCCAAACGUAACACUUUUUAACUUUUCUGGUUAGGAGUAGAAAUAAUCCCAUUGCUAAGUUGCAGGUUAUGUUCGAGUCCACCGGUACUAGCUUUUUCCGUGAUCAUUAAUAAAUUAGAAAUAAGG
rnacentral:lncRNA from 1 species